CUAUGUGUUUCGCAUUUCAGUUUUUUCCUGUUGCCACACCCUUGUCCUUAUUUGGUCUGUUUCCUGUCUUGCCUAUUAUCUCCCAAUUACCUUCCCACCUGCAUUUUAUCUCAGUUUGUUUGUUGAGUAUUUAAACCCUGUGUUGUUCGUUGUUCUUUGUCUGAUCGUUGUGUCUGUGUUUGUGAGACCUGCCUAAGAGUACCUGUUACCGGCAUGUAAGCGCUGCCGACUUUUCAGUUUUUUGUGCUCUGUUUAGUUUUGAACUCAUCCCGCCUGAGAGGUCUUUUUGUUAUCGAGAGCCUGUUUUUGUUGAUGAUCAAGUUUGUGGAGUAUUGAAUAUUUUCACUCCAAUAAACCAAGACUGCAAGAUAUUCUGUAAUCUGCAUUUGAUUCCUCUGACCACCCUGACAGUAUGAUCAGACCAAGAUGGAAUCAGCAGAUUUCACACAGCUCAAGUCUGUUCUGGAGAGACCGGGAGUGAUGAUUGGGAAACAUGAGAACCAGUUCGAUUCCGUGCAGAAGUCCUUGGAUUCCAUUGCAUCCAACCUCACCGAUCUGGCUGCCCAGCUGCAACACCUCCAGCUCCCGGCGUCCAAGCCGCCGCCUCAGUCCCGAGUGACUGGCUCAGCCUCUUUUUUCACGCAGCAGAAUCCUAACCCUGAGCCUCGGCUGCCUCCCCCUGAACCCUACAGUGGGGAUCCUGGAACCUGCAGGUCUUUUCUAUCUCAGUGCUCCCUGGUGUUCCAGCUUCAACCAGCAACCUUCCCAACCGACCGGUCCCAGAUUGCCUAUGUCAUUACUCGCCUGACGGGCCGGGCCCGUGAGUGGGGAACAGCCAUAUGGGACGCAGAUGCUCCAGCCUGCCACUCCUUUGAUCAAGGUCUUCGACAGAUCUUUCCAAGGUCGGGAGGCUGCCAGGGAGAUACUCCAGUCCAGACAGGGGAAGAGGUCCGUAUCAGAUUUUGCCAUCGAUUUUCGCACUCUAGCGACCACCAGUGGCUGGAAUGUCGAUGCCCAGCUUGAUGUCUUCCUCAAUGGUCUCUCUGACUCAAUCAAGGAUGAACUGCUUACCCUUGAGUUGCCUCAGGAUUUUGAUGGUCUGGUGGACCUAGCGAUUCGCAUUGAGAAGCGGCUUAAGCAGCGUCAUAGUGAGCGAGGUUAUAACCGAGGAUGGAGGUCACCUGCUGCAUCAACCCACAGUGUCUCACCGCCUCCUGCUGCCUCCAGUGAUUCCCCUGAACCCAUGCAAGUGGAUCGAGCCCGUUUGUCUCCAGCUGAGAGGAAGAGGAGGAUGGACUCCAGUUCUUGCCUGUAUUGUGGCCAACCCGGUCAUUUUGUUGCCCAUUGCCCGGUAAAAGGCAACGCUCACCUGUGAAGGGGGAGUUACUGGUGAGCGCUACUCUUCUACCUCCCUCUACUACCCGUUUCCUCAUCUCAGCCACCCUCACUGCCGGGAGUCGCCGCCACCCUGUGUCCGUCCUCAUUGAUUCUGGCGCUGAUGGGAAUUUCCUGGAUGCUCGUCUGGCUGCUGAACUCUGUCUCUCGCCCAUCAAGCUCCAACAGCCUCUUGAGGCAAAGGCCUUGACCAGGGUGAAAUUGGCCCUGGUGUCCCACAUCUCCCCACCCUUGGGUCUGCUCAUUUCUGGAAACCACCAGGAGGCGUUGUCCUUUCACCUGCUAGAGUCCCCACAUGCACCUAUUGUCCUGGGCCAUCCAUGGCUGAUCCUUCUAGUGCAGCUCCUCUCAUGGACGACCUUGUCAGGGGUACCCCCGGAGUAUCUGGAUCUCAAGGCUGUUUUCAGCAAGGCCCGAGCUACCUCAUUGCCACCUCACCGCCCGUAUGAUAUGGCCAUUGAUCUUCUGCCUGGUACGUCGCCCCCUAGGGGUCGUCUCUACCUAUUAUCCAUUCCUGAAACUAAGGCCUUGAAUGAAAUAUAUUGGGGACUCUCUAGCCGCAGGAAUCAUUCGACCCUCCUCCUCUCUUGCCGGGGCGGGGUUUUUCUUUGUGGGGAAGAAAGACGGCUCCUUGCGCCCCUGCAUAGAUUACAGGGGUCUGAAUGACAUCACCAUCAAGAACCGCUACCCGCUCCCCUGGCUUUUGAGCAACUACAGGGGGCCAAGAUUUUUUCAAAACUCUACCUCCGUAGUGCCUACCACUUGGUCCGAAUAAGGGAAGGGGAUGAGUGGAAAACUGCAUUCAACACGCUAUCUGGUCACUAUGAAUACCUGGUCAUGCCUUUCGGUCUAACUAAUUGCCCAGCGUCUUAUAAAUGAUGUCCUCCGGGACCUGUUGGGAAAAUUUGUGUUUGUUUAUCUGUAUGACAUUAUUUUUUUUUUUUUUUUUUCCCCAAUCUGUCUCCCAGCAUGUUCAACAUGUCCGCUGUGUCCUUCAACGCUUGCUCGAGAAUCAGCUCUUCGUCAAAGCAGAGAAAUGUGAAUUCCACAAGGAGACAAUUUCCUUCCUGGGCUUCGUAAUAACAUCUGGGGGAAUUAAGAUGGAUAGUCCCAAGGUCAAGGCUGUUACUGACUGGCCUCAGCCAACCACUAGACGGGAGCUCCAGGCGUUUCUGGGAUUUGUUAACUUUUAUAGGCGUUUUAUAAGAAAUUAUGGCACAGUGGCUGCGCCCCUCACGUCCUUGACCUCUUCCAAGGUACCUUUUUCCUGGACCCCUGCCGCCGAAGAGGCUUUUGUGCAGCUUAAGAAGCUUUUUACUACUGCCCCUAUUUUGUGCCGUCCAGACCUGACUCGCCAAUUCAUUGUUGAGGUAGAUGCCUCAAAUGUAGGUGUGGGGGCGGUUCUGUCCCAGCACUCCGCCACCGAUCAGAAGGUCCACCUCUGCGCGUUUUACUCCCAUCGACUCACCCCGACCGAGCGCAACUAUGACGUAGGGGACAGAGAGCUGCUGGCCGUCAAGCUCGCACUCGAGGAGUGGCGCCAUCUGUUGGAGGGCACUGAGAAACCAUUUUUAGUGUGGACAGACCACAUAAACCUGGAAUACUUGCGUUCAGCCAAACGUUUAAAUCCUCGUCAAGUCUGUUGGUCUCUAUUCUUCUCCAGGUUCAACUUCUCUCUGUCUUUCCGUCCAGGCUCUAAGAAUGGCUAACCUGACGCACUCUCCCGCCAGUUCCCAGAUUCUGGUUCUGUGCCCGCUCCCAGUACCAUCCUGCCUCUUCAGUGUGUUGUGGGGGCCGUCACUUGGGACAUAAGAGCCCACCGUCCACACUGCCCAGUCUGGUGAGUCCACUCCUUCUGCCUGUUCUCCUAACCAACUUUUUGUGCCUCAAUCUGUCCGUCCCCAGGUCAUGCAGUGGGCUCACACCACUAAACUAACCUGCCACCCUGGAGUGAGGCGCACUAUGGCGUUCAUAUGACAGCGCUUCUGGUGGCCGGCUAUGGAGAGAGAUGUAAAGCGCUUUGUGGAUGCCUGUCCUACAUGUGCCCAGAACAAACCAUCUAACCAACCACCUGCUGGCCUUCUGCAACCCCUCCUGGUCCCCAAGAGACCCUGGUCCCACAUAGCCCUGGACUUUGUCACUGGCCUGCCCACGUCCCACGGCCUGUCCCCAUUCCAGUGUUGUCUCGGCUACCAGCCUCCAGUGUUCCCAGCUCAGGAGGAGGAUGUUGGGGUUCCGUCGGCGCAGGCCUUCAUCCGACGAUGCCGACGGACGUGGAAGCGCACCAGGUCAACUCUGCUUCGAGUCCAGGCGAGGGUCAAGGUACAGGCGGAUCGCCAUCGCUCCAAGGCUCCACACUAUGUCCAAGGACAGCGGGUCUGGCUGUCAACCCGUGAUCUCCCCCUGAAGGUGGUCUCGCCCAAGUUGAAUCCCCGCUUCAUUGGUCCGUACCCCAUCAGCAAGGUCCUCGGCGGUUCGUCUGAAGCUCCCUUACCCCCCCCCCUCCGCCGCAUCCAUCCCACCUUCCAUGUGUCCCGCAUCAAGCCCUUUGUUUGCAGACCCAUAUGCCUCGCACCCAAACCCCCACCACCCGUCUGGUCGAUAUGUAAUCUACUUUCAAAUGUUUAGAACACAUUGAUUUUUG